AAGUCGUAACAAGGUUUCCGUAGGUGAACCUGCGGAAGGAUCAUUAUUGAAUAAACUUGGUUGGGUUGUUGCUGGCUCCUAGGAGCAUGUGCACGCCUAAUCCAUUUUUAACCCACCUGUGCACCUUUUGUAGACUUGAAUAGCCUUCGAGACAAAUGUACUCGGUUUGAGAAUUGCUGUGUGAAAAGCUCAGCUCUUCUUGUGUUCAAGUCUAUGUUUUAUAUUAUACCCCAUAAGAAUGUAUUAGAAUGUAAUGAACAGGCCAUCGUGCCUUUAAACACAAAUACAACUUUCAACAACGGAUCUCUUGGCUCUC
rnacentral:misc_RNA from 1 species